CUCCACUCGCUCCUUGUGCACACCCUGCCCCACUGAAGUCGGCUCAGUUGCCAGGCUGCAGAGAAUCCAGUCACCAAUCUCUGCAGGCCCACAAGUUGCCUGAGGGCUUGUUGUUGGGUGGGGCCAGUCUCUAGGGUGGGCUGCCUGCUCUGGCUGAGCUGGAUUAAAUCGGUGCUCUAGUGGGUGGGGCAGACCUGGGCUAGCAGGCCUCAGGGAGAACUCCAAUGGCGUCUGUGUCAGCACGCCCACACCAGGCCACAACAAUGGCUGCCGCCAAUGUCCCAGUCCCUGGAGAGGUCCCACCCCUCAUCGAGAUGCACUCAGGGCCUAUUAGGCUUCGUCCUACCCCAGUAACUGAACUUUUCUUGUGGAAAGAAGCACAUACAAAAGGCGUAUAGAAGAAACAACUAUACUUUCUGAUGAUGGAGUCUUGUUGCUGCCAGAAGGGCAAGAGAGGUGGAAGAGAAGUGUGAGCUCUCUUGGCAUCCAAGGCUGGUGAGAGCAGCUGCAGAGUAAGCGACCACAGAGCAACAUGCCACUGCCCCGAGCCCCACAAAAAGCAAACCAUCCCCUAAACCUCCAAUACUGUUGGGUGGAGAAAAGUGCCAUGGUGGAAAGGAGGGACCUCAUUAGAAAUGGAGGAGAAGCGGAAAGAAGCCAAGGAAAGGCUGCAUUGAAAGAAAGCUAAGGUCUGGGGAAGGUAAAAAGAGUCACAACAGAGACCACACGCUUAUACUUCAACAAGGCAAUCAAAACAACCUGCGUGUCCCCGCCCAGCAUCUGUCACGUGACUGCCAUCUGAGCUGCGCUUUCAGAAGAUCAGCCGCUGGAUCUCCUUCAUGCGGUGCAGCUUCGGAGGGGAGGCCAGGUUUGGGCCUUCAUCAGAUGGACCCAAUCCCACUCCCCUCCACUCUUGGGUUCUGGAGGAGUGACGGUAAGCAGGCCUUGAGGGCCACAUUGACACGGGCCCUGCAGCUGGAAAUGGAGAGGAGGAAGGUAAGUGUCCAGGCUGAGAUUAGACCAUGAGUACAACCCUGUGCCAACUGACUCUAGGCACCUACCUCUCCUGUGCCCAUUUGGGUUAACCCCUAUCCCAGAUCUCUCUGGCCCUGCAUUAAGCUAUGAAGAAAAUUGUUUUCCAAUGAGCAUGGCUUUUCUCAAAUUUUGGCAUCAAGAUUUUUGAUCAUCGUACAGGCCUUGCAUCCUACCAGUGCUGUUUGACGCAUGAGGGUCUUUUGAAUGUUACAGUGGAUUAAAAUUAAAUUUGUUUAAUUGGAGCUUGAGGUAAAUGGAGAUAUCUGAGACUUUUGUGAACAGGCAUUAUGAGCUUUUGUUUGAUUUCGGUGGAAUCCUGCUUUAGAGAACUGUAAGGUUUGCAGGCACCUGAGCCUGAGAUCCCUGUGAGCAUGGAUUGAAUGGUUGCUCCGUGCCUGCUCUGUUCUGGCUACUGACACGAGAUACAGGGACUUCUGAAUGUUUCUAACAAUGCCUUUUCCCAAUUAAG